CUGAGUUUUGGGUGUUCUCUUUUGACGCCCGAUCUCCCACCCUUUGUUUACCUAAAAUUGUUGCUUUGGCAGGUCUGUCUUCCUCCCUUCGGGGAGGGGACUGCCGGAGGUUGGGUUGCCGACCUCUGGAUUGUUUGCCUGCCAGUAGCCAACUCCAAAUUCUUUUUUAAUUAUGUCGUCUGAAUUCUUUAAAUAAAUUUUAUUUA
rnacentral:misc_RNA from 1 species